GUUGACCGAAAAGUUCGUUCAGGAUUUCCCGAGGAUGGCAUGGAAAAACCCGAACGACCUUUUUGGACAAC
rnacentral:miRNA from 1 species